ensembl:lncRNA
CCUGCCGCUAACUCUGCGCGCCAGCGAGCUCGCUACGGCCCCCACCCGUUCCGAGCGCAGCGCUGAGCAGGCUCGCCGCCUAUUUUGAGAACAAAGGAUGGCAAAAUAUAGAAUCCCGGAGAGAGAGUGCGGGGGACGCCGAGACCCUCUCGCCUUGCACGCGCACACACACACACACACACACACACACACGCAGUGCACAACACACCUGGGUCUGUCUACCUCGGGCAGACGCUCCUUGAAUUCAGGCUCUUUCAGGGACUUGCUGGGGUGUGUGACCAGAUCCCCGGGGCAAAAGAUAGGCCCAGGUCACGGCCUCCGGCUCUGCUGGGUUUGAAGGACGACCUCCCUACCGCCGCCCAGCCAUCCGUCCCGCGGGCAGGAAGACCUGGAACCACAUGCCCAUCCCCACCCACAUCUACAGACCCAAGCGGGAGGAGCUCCUUUCUCGGACAGCAGGCGCACCCCUGCGCUAUCCCCACCCCCCACGCCCACGGCGGCUCCCGGACCCCGCCAGAGGAGAAACCCUGCAGGGAUCCAGCUUGCCGCCAAACCACAGUUUGGCCACCCGGUACUCUCUGGCAUCCGGAGAGAACUGAUCUCAACGGAAGAACUGGUCGGGUUUGCCGUCACAGAUUCCACAGUCGUUUAUGCUGGGGAGCGAACGACUUUUCUGAGCGUCACCUCACUCCCGCUCUUGGCGAGGCCCGAGACACACAGAAACGCCUUUCCUUCUCCGAGCUGCGGUGGAAAAGCUGGUCGUAAAGCUCACUCCAGAGUUUGCUGUGAAGAUGACAAGAGAUGACCCGGAGAAUGUGCUGGAGAAAUGACGGGCGCUCUGUUCCUGGUCCUGACCCUCCUGCGGGUAGUGUUUUUUCAGCAGGGAGUGAACCCAUGCUCCCCAAUAUAUAUACUUCCUGGCCACGUCUUUGGGGGAAAACUGGUCAAAGGACAGUGGGGAAACAGUGCCAUGAAGUGCCCCAGCCCCCCAAAGUCUGGCCUCUUUGGUCUUUUCCUCCAUGUUAUCAGCCCAGGGACCAAAGUUGAAAAGUAGGUUUCUAAUGCCUUCAGGGGCUUCCCAGGUGGCACUCGUGGUAAAGAAUAGACAUGAGUUCCAUUGCCUGGAGGAGGGCAGGGCAAUUCCAGUAUUCUUGCCUGGAGAAUCCACAAGGACAGAGGAGCCUGGCGGGCUACAGUCCAUAAGGUCACAAAGAGCCAGACAUGACUGAAGCGACUUAGCAUGCAUACAGUGCCUUCAGAUUCAAGUUCAGUGGCGUGGUGGUGGCUGGGGGUGGGGCAAUAUGGUAUGGCUCUGAUUCCCUUUCUUGAGGCUUAAUUUCCAGCAGACCAUGCACCAAGGCUACAUGGUCUGGCAUGCCCUCCACCGCUGCCUUCUCACCCACAGCUCCUGUCCCACGGGCUAGGGUCAUCAUCUGCCUGUUUGGUUCCCCACUGACCAUGGCAAGGCCAUGUGGCACAGCACCUCCUGGUACAGUGCCUGGCACAGCAGCUGACAUUGAUUACUGGUAACCCAAUGAUUGACAGUCCUUCUUUGGGGAAUCUCCUGCUCCAGCCUAUUUCCAUCUCUCUUUCCACAUCAAAGUCCACCCAGUCCCCAAGAAAGUGAAGUUGCUCAUUCAUGUCCAACUCUUUGCGACCCCAUGGACUGUAGCCUGCCAGGCUCCUCCAUCCAUGGAAUUUUCCAGACAAGAGUACUAGAGUGGGUUCCAUUUCCUUCUCCAGGGGAUCUUCCCAACUCGGGAUCGAACCCAGGUCUUCCACAUUGCAAGCAGACACUUUACCAUCUGAGCUGCUAAGGAAGCCCCCAGUCCCCAAGACCAAGGUCAAAUGCUGACUCUUCCACGCAGGCCUCUCUGUCCCCAGGGAUAUGCAUUCAUCUCUCCCUAGUCCCUGGAUCAGUUGGAAAAGACUCUCAUGGCUUCGACCAUGUUCUGCCCUGAAUUACCAUUCUCUCUGUAAAUUCUACACCUCCCUGCUUGGUUGUCACUUCUCAGAGUCAGAAUUGGGUCUUGCCCAUCUCUACGUGGCUUACAUUGCCCAGCUGUGCCCACCCCGGGCACACAGUAGAUGCUCAGGAGAUGUUUGUUGAACUCAACUCUGCAGGUCUGUUCACCAUUUCUUAGCUGAGGGCCUGACUUGAGGUGGACACUGAUGCUGAUGGUGGUAUCUCUGCAGAUCUGGGCUGAGAGAAACCUCAGCAAUCUUGUCUGGAGAUGCCCCACUCCACCCAGACCUGAGGAGGCAGGCCCUGACAGAGUGCCUGUCCUGCUUUUCUUCCACCCUGGGAGGAAGUUCAGAAUCUGUCUGGCAACCUGGGAGUAUGAGGGGGAGGUGAUGGAAGGAAGAAAAACCCACUUGGGUCAGAGUCACCAUCUACCCAAUCAGCUGUUUGAAACAAAAGCCAGGGUCUUGCAGUGAUGGGACAGACCCUGGCCUCAUCUGGACUCACAGCAGCAUUUGCUGCUCAGAGAACCAUGAUGAGCUGGUGACUGUGGGUGAAGAAGGUGCCCUGCCGCAGCCAGCCCCUCCACAUACACCUACAGGCCUGUCACUGGCUCUGUUUGUGGUCCUUCUUGGCUGCAGUUCUUCCCCAGACUCUCAACUCUGCAACCUAGUCAGCACAUCUGGGGUCUUCUCAUGGAACACUCUGGUCCUCCCAGGUGGGGUGCGGAGGAGUACUCUGUGCAGGGAGGGGCCACGACACCCCCACUUGGCCUCCUAGAUGCAACUCUCCUUGAAUGUGUCUCCACAGCCAUCACAGGGGCCAUCUGAUGACAGUUUCACUCAGGUUGCCUCAGGUAACCAACUGUGUUGUGAGGAGAUGCCUGGGAGUAAGGCGGUUGGGAUGUCCUGUGUGUGUUCAUUCCUGAUGGGCCCUGGCACACAGGGGAGCCUGGAGGGCUGUUUGGCUCCGGGGUCUCUCUGACUGCCUGGGCUGUCUUGUAGCCCCAAGGCAGCAGGAACUCCAAGAUUCCAGGUUGGAGUGCUGCCUCCAAGGCUGCUCAGCAGCUCACUUAUCCCUGCUUCCUGGCCCGCUGUCUGCAGCUCUAGUUCAAAUUAUUAAGAAGCAAAGAACUUGAAUGACUCAGGUUAGCCUGGGUCCCUGGUCAGCGAGAGUGUCUGCCCCAGGUCAUCUCUGGGUGCUUGGGAUGUCCAGAGAUCUACAACCUUUGUCUUCUAGGACCCUGAACUCAGGCCACUCCACUAGAUUGGAGUAGGAUCCAGUGGGGCUGCCCUUGGCAGAGAGGUAGGAAUGGGGAGUCUCUUGGAAAGGUUCCUUUGAUGUGUUGGGCACUUUGACUGGCCUGUCCAAUACCGUCAUGUUCUGGAAUAGACCUUGACUUCUCCCUCCAUCCCAAGCCUGAGUGAAUCGGGAAACUCAUCACGUGGACAGCAGGUUUCAUUGCUGAGCUGAUGUUCACACCAGGCCCCUCGUAGGGCCCAAAGGAACAGUGGCUGACCUCACCGUGUGCAGCUGAUGGCCGUGGGACCGGAACGGCCAAAGGUGUAGGGAACAGCCUGCCAGUCUCCCCAGAGGCUGCUCUCUGUGCCACUCAGCCCCUAUUUAGUCUGCAAGAACAGGUUUGGUCAGAGAAGACCUGGGACUCCUGUGGAACACAGAUCUGCCAGGAGAAGAGGCAUCUAGCCCCGCCACUCUCACCAGAGGCUUCAUCCUGAGCCCACAGAAGGUAAAGUGACUACCUCGGCAACAGAGUCAAGAGUAAAGACCCCUGGGCUGGGAAUUCGAACUGGCUUCUAAUUCCAUCACUGCCAUUAAGUCCCCAUGUAACUCAAGACAAGUGAUGCCCCUUCCCUGGGACCCUUUUUAUCACCUGGUUUAUAGACUGGUGGAAGGAGAUAAUCAAGAUUAUCAGGACAGACAGGGAGACCUGGUUACACCCAUAACUUUGGUGGAAACUGACACAGCCAACAAGAGCCCUGUGCCCCUUGAAAUUGGGGGCGAGGGGUAGGUGGCAGAAUGCACUACUCUCUUGGGAUCUGGCCUCUGUCUGACUAGGCCCUCUCUUCCCCAACAGGCCUCUCAUCUGAUGCCUUCUUAGCCUCUCUUGCCUGGCAGUCUCCUGCAGCAAGCAAGGAUGCCACAUCCUUCUAAGUUCUUCCCAACAAGGCAGGUGAAGAUCCAUUCAUUCAGUCCUUCAACAACUUCCAGUGGCCCAAAGUCAUUUUUGCUCAAAUUGUUGCCCUCUCAGAUUCUGUUCCUUGACCACCAGAUUUUAUUCCAUAUCCUACCCAAGCUUUGCUCCCAAGAUUUUCCAGUCUGUGAGUCCAACCUCUUCCCUAGAGGCACCAGCACCCCCUCAUCUUACCAACCUCCAGCUCUGUACCUGAGAGUCCUGGAAAGGCCCCACCCACACUCUUCCCUUCUACUGCACUGGGGGUCCUGCCCCUUAAUCACCAUCUCCCUACAUCUCCCUAGCCCCCAAUCCCUGAGAGGGGAGCACUGGCCAAAGCCAAUGACUUUGCAAGACCCUAAGUUUGGAUCUUGCUACUGAUAGAGGGGUGAUUAUGUUUGUUGCUCUUUUGGGCAAAGGUGGAAAAGCUGAGCAGCAGAUGAUUAAAUUUGGAAAAACCUGCCAAGGAUCCAGUGGCAUGAAGCCAAGAGCUGGAUUCAAACCGAGAGGUAGAAUAGGUGCCAGCUCAGCUGGUGUGGACACGUUUGGCAACUGACAUUUCAAAAAUGUAGCCCACUCCAGUACACUUGCCUGGAAAAUCCCAUGGAUGGAGGAGCCUGGUAGGCUGCAGUCCAUGGGGUCACUAGGAGUCAGACACGACUGAGCAACUUCACUUUCGGAGAAGGAAAUGGCAACCAGCUCCAGUGUUCUUGCCUGGAGAAUCCCAGGGAUGGGGAUGCCUGGUGAGCUGCCGUCUGUGGGGUCGCACAGAGUUGGACACGACUGAAGCUACUUAGCAGCAGCAGCAGCAGCACUCCGGCUGGAGAAAGCUGGCUAGCUCCACAAAGGGAGGUGACUCUUGGACUAAACCUCAAAAGGAGGCCAGAGGAGGUGGACUUGGGAUACAUUUGGAGAGGUGAUUCUCAAGGGGGUGGAGAAUGUAGAGUCUUGCCCCCGCCCCAUGCCCCCACCCACCAGGAGACAUUUGGCGGCGUCUGCAGACAUUUUUGGAUAUUUUCAUGGUAAAGAAUUUCUGGAGGACUUCGCUGGUGGUCCACUGGCUAAGACUCUGUCCCAGUGCAGGGGAUCCAGGUUUGAUCCCUGAUGAGGGAACUAGCUCUCGCAUACCACAACUAAAGCUCUCACACGCUGCAACCAAGACCUGGCACAGCCAAAAUAAAUAAAAAGUUGUUUGUUUGUUUUUCUUAAUUUCUGGGGCUUCAAGAAGAGGCAGCCUAGAUGCUGCAACAAGACUUGUGGCCACAGUCAUAAUUAUCUUGCUCAAAAAGGUUCUUAUUGCACAGCUGAGGUUGCAAGAAGCAAGGGAACCCUUUAGGGGACCAAAUAGGCUGAAACCAAAGUGCGAAAUUAUAAGCACACAGGAAAGAUGGGAUGGCCUUGAGUGCCAAUGUCCACGUAUCUUGUGCAACAAGAUAAGCUUCGUAAGACUAAACUUUCAGCCACUAACAGGAGGAGCCGAACCCAAACCCCUCGCAAUAAGCUCGACCUCUGAAAGAUGACUAAAGUGGCCACAGCCCUGGGUUGGUACAUGCCUUGGCAUCCAGAAAAAGCAAAUGCAAAUCUUCCUUAGAGAAAAUCAUCUUCAAUUAAGGCCCGAAGAUUUCCAUAGAUUAAUAUCUGUCAAUGUGAACUCACAGUAAAAGAUCUCUGGAGACACAAGAGAGAACUCCCAUUAGUGAAAGUCAAGAGAAAAACCAACAAUUGAGUUAGGUCCUUAAGGACGCUGGAUAUUGGAAUCACUAGAUAACGUAAUUAUGUAGCAAGUAUAUAAAGAAAUGAGAGGCUGAGCCAUGAACAGGCCAGCACUGAAAGACUGUCAAAAUUGGGAAGAGUUGCAAGUACUGAGAAGCACAUAGCACUUUUAGAAAUGAAAAAAUAUGAUUUUAAACUAAAAAGUUAGAGUGGGGUGAAUAGUAGAUUAGACCCAGCUGAAGCCUUAGAUGAAGAGAAAAUCAGUGAGCUGGAAGAGAAAUAUGAAGAUAUUACCCAAUAAUUCAGCACAGACUAGAACAUAGAAACUAUGGAAAAGAUUAAGAGAUAUGAAAGAAUUGGGUUUAUAUCUGACAAGAGUUCAAGAGGAGAAAAUAGAAUAGAGGAGAACAGAAGAGAUAAUAGCUGAGAAUUUUCUAAAACUGAUGAAAGACAUCAAUCUUUAUUUUUCCUGAGCAAGGUGCAUUAAAAAGGAAAAAGCCACUCUUAAUGUGGUGGGGGGAGCGUCCAUGCAUUCUUGAACACUUCACCCUUCAAAAGGCUAAUUCCCCUCCCCUUGCUUUUCGACUUCCAUGCUUUCUAUUUUAUCUCUUCGUCUUAAUGCAGAGGAAAGGUCAUAUGAGGAUGCAGCAAGGAAACACUUGUCUGAAAGCGGAGGAGGAAGGUCUCAGCAGAACCCAACCAUGCUGGCACCUUGAUCUUGGGCUCUCAACUUCCAGAACUGUCAGAAAAUAAAUUUCUACCGUUUCAGACACUUAGUCUACGAUAUUUUGUUACAGCAGCCUGAGCAGACUAACA